rnacentral:rRNA from 1 species
CCUACGGGAGGCAGCAGUGAGGAAUAUUGGUCAAUGGACGCAAGUCUGAACCAGCCAUGCCGCGUGCAGGAAGACGGCUCUAUGCGUUGUAAACUGCUUUUGUACGGGGGUAAACGCAGAUACGCGUAUCUGUCUGAAAGUAUCGUACGAAUAAGGAUCGGCUAACUCCGUGCCAGCAGCCGCGGUAAUACGGAGGAUUCAAGCGUUAUCCGGAUUUAUUGGGUUUAAAGGGUGCGUAGGCGGUCGGAUAAGUUAGAGGUGAAAUCCCGAGGCUCAACUUCGGAAUUGCCUCUGAUACUGUUCGGCUAGAGAGCAGUUGCGGUAGGCGGAAUGCAUGGUGUAGCGGUGAAAUGCUUAGAGAUCAUACAGAACACCGAUUGCGAAGGCAGCUUACCAAGCUACUUCUGACGUUGAGGCACGAAAGCGUGGGGAGCGAACAGGAUUAGAUACCCUUGUAGUC